rnacentral:rRNA from 1 species
CCUACGGGAGGCAGCAGUGAGGAAUAUUGGUCAAUGGGCGGAAGCCUGAACCAGCCAAGUCGCGUGAGGGAUGAAGGUUCUAUGGAUUGUAAACUUCUUUUAUAAGGGAAUAAAGUGUGGGACGUGUCCUAUUUUGUAUGUACCUUAUGAAUAAGGAUCGGCUAACUCCGUGCCAGCAGCCGCGGUAAUACGGAGGAUGCGAGCGUUAUCCGGAUUUAUUGGGUUUAAAGGGUGCGUAGGCGGGUUAUCAAGUCAGCGGUAAAAUCGUGGGGCUCAACCCCUGCCAGCCGUUGAAACUGUUGGUCUUGAGAGGGCGAGAAGUAUGCGGAAUGCGUGGUGUAGCGGUGAAAUGCUUAGAUAUCACGCAGAACUCCGAUUGCGAAGGCAGCAUACCGGCGCCCAACUGACGCUGAGGCACGAAAGCGUGGGUAUCGAACAGGAUUAGAUACCCGUGUAGUC